rnacentral:lncRNA from 1 species
UCUUAGAGCAUCUAAAAAUAAAGCAGGCAUCAAGAGAGCAUCCCAGCAGUGCCAUCACAACACAGGGCUCGAAUGUGGACAGGAGGAGGACCUAAGUGGACCCGGAGGCUGAGCUGGCCUCGCAGCACUGGUGGUGGGGGAGGGCUGAUGGUCAGGACUCUGGGUCUUUGGCACUGCUGCCUAGGCCGUGGCCCUCAGUCUGCCCAUCUGUGAAAUGAGGGGGAGCUGGUCCUGACUGCCUCCCAGGGACCCUGUGAAAAGCCGCUCUGAACUCCUUGCCAGAGAGGAGGUUUGCCGGUGCCACAAUCCAGGUCUGUGGGUUUCCCUAUCAAGCUGGUCUUUCUGUAAUAAGCAGGGAGACAAAGGAUUUUGGGGUCCCCACUAUGAUGUAAACCCUGUGCUGGGUGGGGUAGGGGUUCAGAAGCAGAAGUUGUGUUUUCAGCCUCAGGGAGCUCUAGUGGAGAGACAAGAUUCGUGCAUGAAAUAAUUACGACUGUUGUAGAAAAAAGAAAAGCCUGUAGGUCUCCCUUCCUCCCUCCUUCUCUCUGUCUACCUCAGCAUUUCUGGGGUUCACUCUGCUCUGGGUACUGUGUAAAGGACUCCACAGCCAUCAACUUCCCUUCAUCCUUGCCGUGUCUUUGAAAGAGCUGAGAUUUCUUUACAUCACAGUGGUUCAAGGAGAAAAACACAGCCAGAUCCUUCCUCAUCUCAACAUAAAUUAAACCCAGAGGCAGUCAGCGCCACAGUCCACACUCGUAACCGUUACACUCACCUGGAAAUAAAAGUAUUUUUGUGCGGGGACUGCAAGGACUAAGCCCGGCCGCACUCCGAGUUUCUCCUCCUCACAGUUAAUUGUUUUCUUGGCACUCUCUCCCUUCUCACCUGUGACUACCUGAGUGUCCCCAGAGGCAAGGAACUAUGUGAGCCACUCCAGUGUUCCCAGCCCCAAGGCCAGGCACAGUGGACAUUUAUUGCUGAAUGAAUGAAUCAAGAGAGAGGAUCAGAAAGCUGCAGAGGAUGAUAGAUCUGCAAAAUUCUCCCUGGGUGAGGCCCAGGCUCAGCUUCCAGAACAGCUCCAUCUGUCUCCCACUCACUGAGAUUGAACUAAUGUCCCACAGUUGGACAGACCUGAAAUUGAGCUCUGUGAUUUUGGACUGGAUGAUGAGAGGCACAGCUGAGUCCGGAGCAGACUGAGCCACCUAAGAGGGGAGGAACCGCUGCAGAGAAACCGUGUUAAGCCUUUUUGAAGUUCCAGAGGGAGAACAAGAGAGCGGAGGCUCCUGGUGGCUGGUGACAGCUGCUCUUGGCUGGGAGAGCAGAGAACAGGGGACAGGAGAGAAGCCCCGAGAGUACUGAAGCUGAGGCUGGGGCGGUCUUCACUUCCCUCUUUCCUCGGCCCUUUUCCUGUUCUCUUGUCUUGUCUCUCUUUCUCUACUUUCCUUCUCCCUAGCCCAGUCUCUCACCGCUCUUCAGCCUCUGGGCCUUUCCUUCUUCCUCUCUUGCCCUCAUUCUUCCUUCUCUGUCCCUCUUGUCUUCUCUUUUACCUCUUCUCUUCUUCCCUCCUUCCUACAGCUAUGCCCUCUUCCCUCCUUUCUCUUGUCCCCAACCAGGGCAUUAGAAAUGCAUUCCAGUUACACUGAUCUGAUCACUGCAUAUUGUAUGCAUGCAUCAAAAUAUCACAUGUACCCCAGAAAUAUGUAAAUUACUGCAUAUCAAUAAAAAGAAAUGUAGCUUCUUUGCCUCACAUACAGAAAAGCCAAUCUGAAGUAUAAAUAAAUAAACAAACAAAUAAAUAAAACGAACCACACUGGCCCCCCCGCCGCCUCCCAGCCAUCAUCUGGGCCUGCCACUAUUUGCUCAGGGUAUCUAAACAUCAGCCAAAAUCAAAGAAAAAGUUUUAAAAUCUAUUGUUAAAAAUUUCCAAGGCUAAGUUGACAUGCAUGUACAAUAGCAUUUCCCAAACUGUGACUUAAUAAACUCCAAGCCUUCAAGUUGGGAGAGGUGGUUCCAUGAUACCGUUAAAAGCACAGACUGAAGCCCAUCUGCCUGGGUUUAAAUCCUUGCUCUGCAGCAUGAUAGUUAUGUGACC